rnacentral:sRNA from 1 species
AUAUUCGCUGAAAUCUUACAAGAUGCGGGGGAACCGUUCUAACGGAUUGAAUCGAUCCGGGGGGUGAAUCCUAUUACAAGGUAGGGCUACUCAAGGGCCCGAAUCCGACAGCUAACUCCGUAAGCGUUAUUUGAGAAG